GAUGAACGCUGGCGGCGUGCCUAAUACAUGCAAGUCGAGCGAACAGACGAGGAGCUUGCUCCUCUGACGUUAGCGGCGGACGGGUGAGUAACACGUGGAUAACCUACCUAUAAGACUGAGAUAACUUCGGGAAACCGGAGCUAAUACCGGAUAACAUGUUGAACCGCAUGGUUCAACAGUGAAAGACGGUCUUGCUGUCACUUAUAGAUGGAUCCGCGCCGCAUUAGCUAGUUGGUAAGGUAACGGCUUACCAAGGCAACGAUGCGUAGCCGACCUGAGAGGGUUAUCGGCCACACUGGAACUGAGACACGGGCCAGACUCCUACGGGAAGGAACAGGAGGGAAUCUUCCGCAAUGGGCCAAAGCCUGACGGAGCAACGCCGGGGGAGUGAAGAAGGUCUUCGGAUCGUAAAACUCUGUUAUGAGGGAAGAACAAAUGUGUAAGUAACUAUGCACGUCUUGACGGUACCUAAUCAGAAAGCCACGGCUAACUACGGU
rnacentral:rRNA from 1 species